AUGCCAAUCGAACACGGAGAUAGCUGGUUCUCCCCGAAAUAGCUUUAGGGCUAGCCUCGAGGUAGAGAGUAUAGGCGGUAGAGCACUGAUCGGGCUAGGGGCCAUACCGGUUACCGAACCUAGUCAAACUACGAAUGGCUAUACUUAUACUCGGGAGUCAGACAGUGAAUGAUAAGGUCCAUUGUCAAGAGGGAAACAGCCCAGAACACCGACUAAGGUCCCCAAUGUUACACUAAGUGGCGAAGGAUGUGGAAUUUCCAAAACAACCAGGAUGUUGGCUUAGAAGCAGCCACCAUUUAAAGAGUGCGUAAUAGCUCACUGGUCGAGAGACUCUGCGCCGAAAAUGUCCGGGGCUAAAGUGUAAAACCGAAGUCGUGUCAUAUGCAGCAAUGUAUAUGGGUAGGGGAGCGUUCUCAUCGGGCUGAAGCAGUACCGUAAGGAGUUGUGGACUGAUGAGAAGUGAGAAUGUCGGUAUGAGUAGCGAAAAGAAUGGUGAGAAUCCAUUCCACCGAAAGCCUAAGGGUUCCUGAGCAACGAUCGUCGUCUCAGGGUAAGUCGGGACCUAAGCCGAGGCGGAAAAGCGUAGGCGAUGGACAACAGGUUGAAAUUCCUGUACCGGUGUGAAUCGUUUGAUCGAUGGAGUGACACAGUAAGGUAGGUCAGCACGCGAUUGGAAGAGCGUGUUUAAGCAGGUAGGUUGAGCUAUAGGCAAAUCCGUAGCUCUAAAAGCUGAGAUGUGAUGACGAGCGACUAGCAAUAGUCGCGAAGUGAUUGAUCCUACACUGUCGAGAAAAGCUUCUAGGUAGAGACACAUCGCCCGUACCAAAACCGACACAGGUAGGCGGGGAGAGAAUCCUAAGGUGCGCGGGAAAACCCUCGUUAAGGAACUCGGCAAAAUGCCUCCGUAACUUCGGGAAAAGGAGGACUCAUGUAGUGUGAAGAGCAGAAGCGCUUGGAGCAUGAAUGAGUGGCACAAGAGAGGCGCAAGCGACUGUUUACCACAAACACAGGUGCCUGCUAAAGCGAAAGCUGAUGUAUAGGUGCUGACACCUGCCCGGUGCUGGAAGGUUAAGAGGAGGGGUUAGACUUCGGUCGAAGCUCUGAAUUGAAGCCCCAGUAAACGGCGGCCGUAACUAUAACGGUCCUAAGGUAGCGAAAUUCCUUGUCGGGUAAGUUCCGACCCGCACGAAAGGUGUAACGACUUGCGCACUGUCUCAACGAGGGACCCGGUGAAAUUGAAGUACCUGUGAAGAUGCAGGUUACCCGCGACUGGACAGAAAGACCCCAUGGAGCUUUACUGCAACCUAAGAUUGAACUUAGUUAAUGAAUGUACAGGAUAGGUGGGAGACGGAGAACCUAGGACGCCAGUUUUAGGGGAGUCGCUGUUGGGAUACCACCCUUUCAUUAAUUGAUUUCUAACGGGCCGAGUAACGACCGGCCGGACAGUCUUAGGCGGGCAGUUUGACUGGGGCGGUCGCCUCCAAAAGAGUAACGGAGGCGCCCAAAGGUUCCCUCAGAGCGGACGGAAAUCGCUCGAAGAGUGUAAAGGCAGAAGGGAGCUUGACUGCGAGACGGACAGGUCGAGCAGGGACGAAAGUCGGGCUUAGUGAUCCGGUGGUGCCGAGUGGAAGGGCCAUCGCUCAACGGAUAAAAGCUACCCUGGGGAUAACAGGCUAAUCUCUCCCAAGAGUCCAUAUCGACGGGGAGGUUUGGCACCUCGAUGUCGGCUCAUCACAUCCUGGGGCUGAAGUAGGUCCCAA
rnacentral:rRNA from 1 species